rnacentral:rRNA from 1 species
GACGAACGCUGGCGGCGUGCUUAACACAUGCAAGUCGAGCGAUCCAAGUGUAAUAUGCGGGAACACAAUUUCCGCGUAUUAUGUUUGGAUAGCGGCGGACGGGUGAGUAACACGUGGGUAACCUGCCCUAUACAUCGGGAUAACACUGGGAAACCGGUGCUAAUACCGAAUGAAAUAUGCGAUAGGCAUCUAUUGCAUAUCGAAGGAUGAACUGAAAGGGGAACCGGUAUAGGAUGGGCCCGCGUCCGAUUAGCUAGUUGGUAGGGUAACGGCCUACCAAGGCGACGAUCGGUAGCCGGACUGAGAGGUUGGCCGGCCACAUUGGGACUGAGACACGGCCCAGACUCCUACGGGAGGCAGCAGUGGGGAAUAUUGCGCAAUGGGGGAAACCCUGACGCAGCGACGCCGCGUGAAGGAAGAAGGCCUUCGGGUUGUAAACGUUCUUUGACCGGGGACGGAACGAAAUAGACGGUACCCGGGGAACGAAGCCACGGCUAACUACGUGCCAGCAGCCGCGGUAACACGAGAGUA